rnacentral:rRNA from 1 species
AGUGAACGCUGGCGGUAGGCCUAACACAUGCAAGUCGAACGGCAGCACAGUAAGAGCUUGCUCUUACGGGUGGCGAGUGGCGGACGGGUGAGGAAUACAUCGGAAUCUACUUUUUCGUGGGGGAUAACGUAGGGAAACUUACGCUAAUACCGCAUACGACCUACGGGUGAAAGCAGGGGAUCUUCGGACCUUGCGCGAUUGAAUGAGCCGAUGUCGGAUUAGCUAGUUGGCGGGGUAAAGGCCCACCAAGGCGACGAUCCGUAGCUGGUCUGAGAGGAUGAUCAGCCGCACUGGAACUGAGACACGGUCCAGACUCCUACGGGAGGCAGCAGAGGGGAAUAUUGGACAAUGGGCGCAAGCCUGAUCCAGCCGUACCGCGUGGGUGAAGAAGGCCUUCGGGUUGUAAAGCCCUUUUGUUGGGAAAGAAAAGCAGCAGGUUAAUACCCCGCUGUUCUGACGGUACCCAAAGAAUAAGCACCGGCUAACUUCGUG